rnacentral:rRNA from 1 species
UACGGAGGGUGCAAGCGUUAUCCGGAUUCACUGGGUUUAAAGGGUGCGUAGGUGGGAUGGUAAGUCAGUGGUGAAAUCUCCGAGCUUAACUUGGAAACUGCCGUUGAUACUAUCAUUCUUGAAUCUCGUGGAGGUAAGCGGAAUAUGUCAUGUAGCGGUGAAAUGCUUAGAUAUGACAUAGAACACCGAUAGCGAAGGCAGCUUGCUACACGAGUAUUGACACUGAGGCACGAAAGCGUGGGGAUCAAACAGG